UGGGCCAUCGCCAAGCGGCUAAGGCACAGGACUUUGACUCCUGCAUUCGUUGGUUCAAAUCCAACUGGCCCAG
rnacentral:tRNA from 1 species